rnacentral:rRNA from 1 species
CGGAGAAAGAGCCUGAAAAACGGCUACCACAUCCAAGGAAGGCAGCAGGCGCGUAAAUUACCCAAUCCUGAUACAGGGAGGUAGUGACAAUAAAUAACAAUGCCGGGCCAUCAUUGGUCUGGCAAUUGGAAUGAGAACAAUUUAAAUCCCUUAUCGAGGAUCAAUUGGAGGGCAAGUCUGGUGCCAGCAGCCGCGGUAAUUCCAGCUCCAAUAGCGUAUAUUAAAGUUGUUGCAGUUAAAAAGCUCGUAGUUGGAUUUGUGGCGCACGGUGUGUUCCGGGCACUUGUUGUCUGAGUAACCUGCCGUUGCCAUCCUUGGGUGGAACCUGUGUGGCAUUAGUUGUCGUGCAGGGGAUGCCCAUCAUUUACUGUGAAAAAAUUAGAGUGUUCAAAGCAGGCUUAUGCCCGUUGAAUAUAUUAGCAUGGAAUAAUAAGAUAGGACUUGUUUGCUUUUUGUGGUUGCGC